GUAGUCCACGCCCUAAACGAUGUCUACUUGCUGUUGGGGGUAAAACCUUAGUAGCGAAGCUAACGCGAGAAGUAGACCGCCUGGGGAGUACGGUCGCAAGAUUAAAACUCAAAGGAAUUGACGGGGACCCGCACAAGCGGUGGAUGAUGUGGAUUAAUUCGAUGCAACGCGAAGAACCUUACCUGCUCUUGACAUGCUAGGAAGAUUUCAGAGAUGAGAUUGUGCCUUCGGGAACCUAGACACAGGUGCUGCAUGGCUGUCGUCAGCUCGUGUCGUGAGAUGUUGUCUUAAGUGACGCAACGAGCGCAACCCUUACUACUAGUUGCCCUAAUUAAGUUUGGAACUCUAGU
rnacentral:rRNA from 1 species